AACGAACGCUGGCGGCGGGCCUAACACAUGCAAGUCGAGCGCCGUAGCAAUACGGAGCGGCAGACGGGUGAGUAACACGUGGGAACGUGCCCAAAGGUACGGAACAACUCCGGGAAACUGGAGCUAAUACCGUAUGUGCCCGAGAGGGGAAAGAUUUAUCGCCUUUGGAUCGGCCCGCGUCUGAUUAGCUAGUUGGUGGGGUAAUGGCCCACCAAGGCGACGAUCAGUAGCUGGUCUGAGAGGAUGGCCAGCCACACUGGGACUGAGACACGGCCCAGACGCCUACGGGAGGCAGCAGUGGGGAAUAUUGGACAAUGGGCGCAAGCCUGAUCCAGCCAUGCCGCGUGAGUGAUGAAGGCCUUAGGGUUGUAAAGCUCUUUCGCCAGGGACGAUAAUGACGGUACCUGGAUAAGAAGCCCCGGCUAACUACGUGCCAGCAGCCGCUGUAAAAC
rnacentral:rRNA from 1 species